rnacentral:rRNA from 1 species
GACGAACGCUGGCGGCGUGCUUAACGCAUGCAAGUCGAACGGAAAGGCCCUGCUUGCAGGGUACUCGAGUGGCGAACGGGUGAGUAACACGUGGGUGAUCUGCCCUGCACUUCGGGAUAAGCUUGGGAAACUGGGUCUAAUACCGGAUAGGACCGCACUUUAGUGUGUGUGGUGGAAAGUUUUUUCGGUGUAGGAUGAGCUCGCGGCCUAUCAGCUUGUUGGUGGGGUAAUGGCCUACCAAGGCGGCGACGGGUAGCCGGCCUGAGAGGGUGUACGGCCACUUUGGGACUGAGAUACGGCCCAGACUCCUACGGGAGGCAGCAGUGGGGAAUAUUGCACAAUGGGCGCAAGCCUGAUGCAGCGACGCCGCGUGGGGGAUAAAGGCCUUCGGGUUGUAAACUCCUUUCGCUAGGGACGAAGCUUUGUUGUGACGGUACCUAGAUAAGAAGCACCGGCUAACUACGUG